rnacentral:rRNA from 1 species
CGAUUUCCGAAUGGGGAAACCCAGUGUGAUUCGUCACACUAUCAUUAACUGAAUCCAUAGGUUAAUGAGGCGAACCGGGGGAACUGAAACAUCUAAGUACCCCGAGGAAAAGAAAUCAACCGAGAUUCCCCCAGUAGCGGCGAGCGAACGGGGAGCAGCCCAGAGCCUGAAUCAGUGUGUGUGUUAGUGGAAGCGUCUGGAAAGGCGCGCGAUACAGGGUGACAGCCCCGUACACAAAAAUGCACAUACUGUGAGCUCGAUGAGUAGGGCGGGACACGUGGUAUCCUGUCUGAAUAUGGGGGGACCAUCCUCCAAGGCUAAAUACUCCUGACUGACCGAUAGUGAACCAGUACCGUGAGGGAAAGGCGAAAAGAACCCCGGCGAGGGGAGUGAAAAAGAACCUGAAACCGUGUACGUACAAGCAGUGGGAGCCUCUUUAUGGGGUGACUGCGUACCUUUUGUAUAAUGGGUCAGCGACUUAUAUUCUGUAGCAAGGUUAACCGAAUAGGGGAGCCGAAGGGAAACCGAGUCUUAACUGGGCGUUAAGUUGCAGGGUAUAGACCCGAAACCCGGUGAUCUAGCCAUGGGCAGGUUGAAGGUUGGGUAACACUAACUGGAGGACCGAACCGACUAAUGUUGAAAAAUUAGCGGAUGACUUGUGGCUGGGGGUGAAAGGCCAAUCAAACCGGGAGAUAGCUGGUUCUCCCCGAAAGCUAUUUAGGUAGCGCCUCGUGAAUUCAUCUCCGGGGGUAGAGCACUGUUUCGGCAAGGGGGUCAUCCCGACUUACCAACCCGAUGCAAACUGCGAAUACCGGAGAAUGUUAUCACGGGAGACACACGGCGGGUGCUAACGUCCGUCGUGAAGAGGGAAACAACCCAGACCGCCAGCUAAGGUCCCAAAGUCAUGGUUAAGUGGGAAACGAUGUGGGAAGGCCCAGACAGCCAGGAUGUUGGCUUAGAAGCAGCCAUCAUUUAAAGAAAGCGUAAUAGCUCACUGGUCGAGUCGGCCUGCGCGGAAGAUGUAACGGGGCUAAACCAUGCACCGAAGCUGCGGCAGCGACGCUUAUGCGUUGUUGGGUA